UACGUAGGGUGCGAGCGUUAAUCGGAAUUACUGGGCGUAAAGUGUGCGCAGGCGGCCGCGCAAGUCGAGUGUGAAAGCCCCGAGCUUAACUUGGGAAUUGCGCUCGAAACUACGUGGCUGGAGUGUGGCAGAGGAAGGUGGAAUUCCAGGUGUAGCGGUGAAAUGCGUAGAGAUCUGGAGGAACACCGAUGGCGAAGGCAGGUCUCUGGGCCACUACUGACGCUGAGAAGCGAAAGCAUGGGGAGCGAACAGG
rnacentral:rRNA from 1 species